GGGUUGUGAGGUUAAGCGACUAAGCGUACACGGUGGAUGCCCUGGCAGUCAGAGGCGAUGAAGGGCGUGCUAAUCUGCGAUAAGCGCCGGUAAGGUGAUAUGAACCGUUAUAACCGGCGAUACCCGAAUGGGGAAACCCAGUGUGAUUCGUCACACUAUCAUUAACUGAAUCCAUAGGUUAAUGAGGCGAACCGGGGGAACUGAAACAUCUAAGUACCCCGAGGAAAAGAAAUCAACCGAGAUUCCCCCAGUAGCGGCGAGCGAACGGGGAGGAGCCCAGAGCCUGAAUCAGCAUGUGUGUUAGUGGAAGCGUCUGGAAAGGCGCGCGAUACAGGGUGACAGCCCCGUACACAAAAGCGCAUGUGCUGUGAGCUCGAUGAGUAGGGCGGGACACGUGGUAUCCUGUCUGAAUAUGGGGGGACCAUCCUCCAAGGCUAAAUACUCCUGACUGACCGAUAGUGAACCAGUACCGUGAGGGAAAGGCGAAAAGAACCCCGGCGAGGGGAGUGAAAAAGAACCUGAAACCGUGUACGUACAAGCAGNNNNNNNNNNNNNNNNNNNGUGUGACUGCGUACCUUUUGUAUAAUGGGUCAGCGACUUAUAUUCUGUAGCAAGGUUAACCGAAUAGGGGAGCCGGAGGGAAACCGAGUCUUAAUUGGGCGUUAAGUUGCAGGGUAUAGACCCGAAACCCGGUGAUCUAGCCAUGGGCAGGUUGAAGGUUGGGUAACACUAACUGGAGGACCGAACCGACUAAUGUUGAAAAAUUAGCGGAUGACCUGUGGCUGGGGGUGAAAGGCCAAUCAAACCGGGAGAUAGCUGGUUCUCCCCGAAAGCUAUUUAGGUAGCGCCUCGUGAAUUCAUCUCCGGGGGUAGAGCACUGUUUCGGCUAGGGGGCCAUCCCGGCUUACCAACCCGAUGCAAACUGCGAAUACCGGAGAAUGUUAUCACGGGAGACACACGGCGGGUGCUAACGUCCGUCGUGAAGAGGGAAACAACCCAGACCGCCAGCUAAGGUCCCAAAGUCAUGGUUAAGUGGGAAACGAUGUGGGAAGGCCCAGACAGCCAGGAUGUUGGCUUAGAAGCAGCCAUCAUUUAAAGAAAGCGUAAUAGCUCACUGGUCGAGUCGGCCUGCGCGGAAGAUGUAACGGGGCUAAACCAUGCACCGAAGCUGCGGCAGCGACACUGUGUGUUGUUGGGUAGGGGAGCGUUCUGUAAGCCUGUGAAGGUGUGUCGUGAGGCAUGCUGGAGGUAUCAGAAGUGCGAAUGCUGACAUAAGUAACGAUAAAGCGGGUGAAAAGCCCGCUCGCCGGAAGACCAAGGGUUCCUGUCCAACGUUAAUCGGGGCAGGGUGAGUCGACCCCUAAGGCGAGGCCGAAAGGCGUAGUCGAUGGGAAACGGGUUAAUAUUCCCGUACUUGGUGUUACUGCGAAGGGGGGACGGAGAAGGCUAUGUUGGCCGGGCGACGGUUGUCCCGGUUUAAGCGUGUAGGUGUGUGUUCCAGGUAAAUCCGGUUCACUUUAACACUGAGGCGUGACGACGAGGCACUACGGUGCUGAAGCAACAAAUGCCCUGCUUCCAGGAAAAGCCUCUAAGCAUCAGGUAACAUCAAAUCGUACCCCAAACCGACACAGGUGGUCAGGUAGAGAAUACCAAGGCGCUUGAGAGAACUCGGGUGAAGGAACUAGGCAAAAUGGUGCCGUAACUUCGGGAGAAGGCACGCUGACACGUAGGUGAAGUGAUUUACUCAUGGAGCUGAAGUCAGUCGAAGAUACCAGCUGGCUGCAACUGUUUAUUAAAAACACAGCACUGUGCAAACACGAAAGUGGACGUAUACGGUGUGACGCCUGCCCGGUGCCGGAAGGUUAAUUGAUGGGGUCAGCGCAAGCGAAGCUCCUGAUCGAAGCCCCGGUAAACGGCGGCCGUAACUAUAACGGUCCUAAGGUAGCGAAAUUCCUUGUCGGGUAAGUUCCGACCUGCACGAAUGGCGUAAUGAUGGCCAGGCUGUCUCCACCCGAGACUCAGUGAAAUUGAACUCGCUGUGAAGAUGCAGUGUACCCGCGGCAAGACGGAAAGACCCCGUGAACCUUUACUAUAGCUUGACACUGAACAUUGAGCCUUGAUGUGUAGGAUAGGUGGGAGGCUUUGAAGUGUGGACGCCAGUCUGCAUGGAGCCGACCUUGAAAUACCACCCUUUAAUGUUUGAUGUUCUAACGUGGACCCGUUACCCGGGUUGCGGACAGUGUCUGGUGGGUAGUUUGACUGGGGCGGUCUCCUCCUAAAGAGUAACGGAGGAGCACGAAGGUUGGCUAAUCCUGGUCGGACAUCAGGAGGUUAGUGCAAUGGCAUAAGCCAGCUUGACUGCGAGCGUGACGGCGCGAGCAGGUGCGAAAGCAGGUCAUAGUGAUCCGGUGGUUCUGAAUGGAAGGGCCAUCGCUCAACGGAUAAAAGGUACUCCGGGGAUAACAGGCUGAUACCGCCCAAGAGUUCAUAUCGACGGCGGUGUUUGGCACCUCGAUGUCGGCUCAUCACAUCCUGGGGCUGAAGUAGGUCCCAAGGGUAUGGCUGUUCGCCAUUUAAAGUGGUACGCGAGCUGGGUUUAGAACGUCGUGAGACAGUUCGGUCCCUAUCUGCCGUGGGCGCUGGAGAACUGAGGGGGGCUGCUCCUAGUACGAGAGGACCGGAGUGGACGCAUCACUGGUGUUCGGGUUGUCAUGCCAAUGGCACUGCCCGGUAGCUAAAUGCGGAAGAGAUAAGUGCUGAAAGCAUCUAAGCACGAAACUUGCCCCGAGAUGAGUUCUCCCUGAGACUUAGAGUCUCCUGAAGGAACGUUGAAGACGACGACGUUGAUAGGCCGGGUGUGUAAGCGCAGCGAUGCGUUGAGCUAACCGGUACUAAUGAACCGUGAGGCUUAACCUUACAACGCCGAAG
rnacentral:rRNA from 1 species